GACGAACGCUGGCGGCGUGCUUAACACACGCAAGUCGAACGGAAAGGCCCUGCUUUUGUGGGGUGCUCGAGUGGCGAACGGGUGAGUAACACGUGAGUAACCUGCCCUUGACUUUGGGAUAACUUCAGGAAACUGGGGCUAAUACCGGAUAGGAGCUCCUGCUGCAUGGUGGGGGUUGGAAAGUUUCGGCGGUUGGGGAUGGACUCGCGGCUUAUCAGCUUGUUGGUGGGGUAGUGGCUUACCAAGGCUUUGACGGGUAGCCGGCCUGAGAGGGUGACCGGCCACAUUGGGACUGAGAUACGGCCCAGACUCCUACGGGAGGCAGCAGUGGGGAAUAUUGCACAAUGGGCGGAAGCCUGAUGCAGCAACGCCGCGUGCGGGAUGACGGCCUUCGGGUUGUAAACCGCUUUCACCUGUGACGAAGCGUGAGUGACGGUAAUGGGUAAAGAAGCACCGGCUAACUACGUG
rnacentral:rRNA from 1 species